AUGAACGCUAGCGGCAGGCCUAAUACAUGCGAGUCGAGGGGUAGAGGGAGCUUGCUCCCUUGAGACCGGCGCACGGGUGCGUAACGCGUAUGCAACCUACCCUUUCUGGGGGAUAGCCCGGAGAAAUCCGGAUUAAUACCGCAUAAGACCACACGGUGGCAUCAUCGAGAGGUCAAACAUUUAUGGGAGAAGGAUGGGCAUGCGUGCCAUUAGCUAGUUGGCGGGGGGUAACGGCCCACCAAGGCGACGAUGGCUAGGGGAUCUGAGAGGAUGGCCCCCCACACUGGUACUGAGACACGGACCAGACUCCUACGGGAGGCAGCAGUAAGGAAUAUUGGUCAAUGGGCGCAAGCCUGAACCAGCCAUGCCGCGUGCAGGAAGACGGCCCUCCGGGUUGUAAACUGCUUUUGUACGGGAAUAAACCUCCGAUCGUGAUCGGAGCUGAAUGUACCGUAAGAAUAAGGAUCGGCUAACUCCGUGCCAGCAGCCGCGGUAAUACGGAGGAUCCAAGCGUUAUCCGGAUUUAUUGGGUUUAAAGGGUGCGUAGGCGGCCUGUUAAGUCAGGGGUGAAAGACGGUGGCUCAACCAUCGCAGUGCCCUUGAUACUGAUGGGCUUGAAUGGACUAGAGGUAGGCGGAAUGUGACAAGUAGCGGUGAAAAUGCAUAGAUAUGUCGCAGAACACCGAUUGCGAAGGCAGCUUACUAUGGUUUUAUUGACGCUGAGGCACGAAAGCGUGGGGAUCGAACAGGAUUAGAUACCCUGGUAGUCCACGCCCUAAACGAUGAACACUCGCUGUUGGCGAUAAACGGUCAGCGGCUAAGCGAAAGCGUUAAGUGUUCCACCUGGGGAGUACGCCCGCAAGGGUGAAACUCAAAGGAAUUGACGGGGGCCCGCACAAGCGGAGGAGCAUGUGGUUUAAUUCGAUGAUUACGCGAGGAACCUUACCCGGGCUUGAAAGUUAGUGAAGUAUCCAGAGAUGGAUGCGCCCUUCGGGGCACGAAACUAGGUGCUGCAUGGCUGUCGUCAGCUCGUGCCGUGAGGUGUUGGGUUAAGUCCCGCAACGAGCGCAACCCCUAUGAAUAGUUGCCAGCAUGUAAUGGUGGGGACUCUAUUCAGACUGCCUGUGCAAACAGAGAGGAAGGAGGGGACGACGUCAAGUCAUCAUGGCCCUUACGUCCGGGGCUACACACGUGCUACAAUGGACGGUACAGAGGGCAGCUAUACAGCAAUGUAAUGCCAAUCUCAAAAAGCCGUUCACAGUUCGGAUCGGGGUCUGCAACUCGACCCCGUGAAGUUGGAUUCGCUAGUAAUCGCGUAUCAGCAAUGACGCGGUGAAUACGUUCCCGGGCCUUGUACACACCGCCCGUCAAGCCAUGGAAGCUGGGGGUACCUAAAGUCCGUAACCGCAAGGAGCGGCCUAGGGUAAAACCGGUAACUGGGGCU
rnacentral:rRNA from 1 species